CGAGUCAUUGUAGCAAUACAAGGCAGACGGCUCAUCAACGCGUAGUCAACCUACCCUAUGGACGGGGAUAACCUCGGGAAACUGAGAAUAAUACCCGAUAGAACAUUAUGCCUGGAAUGGUUUAUGUUUCAAAUAAUUUAUUGCCGUAGGAUGGGACUGCGGCCUAUCAGUUUGUUGGUGAGGUAAUGGCCCACCAAGACUAUUACAGGUACGGGCUCUGAGAGGAGUAGCCCGGAGAUGGGUACUGAGACACGGACCCAGGCCCUAUGGGGCGCAGCAGGCGAGAAAACUUUGCAAUGUGCGAAAGCACGACAAGGUUAAUCCGAGUGGUUUCUGCUAAAGGAACCUUUUGUCAGUCCUAGAAACACUGAUGAAUAAGGGGUGGGCAAGUUCUGGUGUCAGCCGCCGCGGUAAAACCAGCACCUCAAGUGGUCAGGAUGAUUAUUGGGCCUAAAGCAUCCGUAGCCUGCUUUGUAAGUUUUCGGUUAAAUCCAUAUGCUCAACAUAUGGGCUGCCGGGAAUACUGCAAAGCUAG
rnacentral:rRNA from 1 species